rnacentral:rRNA from 1 species
UACGGGGGGGGCAAGCGUUGUUCGGAAUUACUGGGCGUAAAGGGCUCGUAGGCGGCCAACUAAGUCGGACGUGAAAUCCCCAGGCUCAACCUGGGAACUGCGUCCGAUACUGGAUGGCUUGAAUCCGGGAGAGGGAUGCAGAAUUCCAGGUGUAGCGGUGAAAUGCGUAGAUAUCUGGAGGAAUACCGGUGGCGAAGGCGGCAUCCUGGACCGGCAUUGACGCUGAGGAGCGAAGGCGUGGGGAGCGAACGGGG